CUUUCCUUCGGGACAGAGGAGACAGGUGGUGCAUGGUUGUCGUCAGCUCGUGUCGUGAGAUGUUGGGUUAAGUCCCGCAACGAGCGCAACCCUUAUGCUUAGUUGCCAGCAGGUCAAGCUGGGCACUCUAAGCAGACUGCCGGUGACAAACCGGAGGAAGGUGGGGAUGACGUCAAAUCAUCAUGCCCCUUAUGACCUGGGCUACACACGUACUACAAUGGCCGGUACAACGGGAAGCGAAGGAGCGAUCUGGAGCCAAUCCUAGAAAAGCCGGUCUCAGUUCGGAUUGUAGGCUGCAACUCGCCUACAUGAAGUCGGAAUUGCUAGUAAUCGCGGAUCAGCAUGCCGCGGUGAAUACGUUCCCGGGUCUUGUACACACCGCCCGUCACACCACGAGAGUUUACAACACCCGAAGUCGGUGAGGUAACCGCAAGGAGCCAGCCGCCGAAGGUGGGGUAGAUGAUUGGGGUGAAGUCGUAACAAGGUAGCCGUAUCGGAAGGUGCGGCUGGAUCACCUCCUUUCUAUGGAGA
rnacentral:rRNA from 1 species